AGCAAAUGGCGGCGUGCUAAUACAUGCAAGUCGAGCGGACUUGCUGGAGCUUGCUCCAGCAGGUUAGCGGCGGACGGGUGAGUAACACGUGGGCAACCUGCCUGUAAGACUGGGAUAACUCCGGGAAACCGGAGCUAAUACCGGAUAGUAUCUUGAACCGCAUGGUUCAAGUUGGAAAGACGGUUUCGGCUGUCACUUACAGAUGGGCCCGCGGCGCAUUAGCUAGUUGGUGAGGUAAUGGCUCACCAAGGCAACGAUGCGUAGCCGACCUGAGAGGGUGAUCGGCCACACUGGGACUGAGACACGGCCCAGACUCCUACGGGAGGCAGCAGUAGGGAAUCUUCCGCAAUGGACGAAAGUCUGACGGAGCAACGCCGCGUGAGUGAUGAAGGUUUUCGGAUCGUAAAACUCUGUUGUUAGGGAAGAACAAGUGCGAGAGUAACUGCUCGCACCUUGACGGUACCUAACCAGAAAGCCACGGCUAACUACGUGCCAGCAGCCGCGGUAAUACGUAUGUGGCAAGCGUUGUCCGGAAAUUAUUGGGCGUAAAGCGCGCGCGGGCGGUUUCUUAAGUCUGAUGUGAAAGCCCCCGGCUCAACCCGGGGGAGGGUCAUUGGAAACUGGGAAACUUGAGUGCAGAAAGAGGAGAGGUGAAAUUCCACGUGUAGCGGGUGAAAUGCGGUAGAGAUGGUGGGGGGGAAACACCCAGGUGGCGAAAGGCGACUCUCUGGCUCUGUAACCUGACCGCUGACGCGCGAAAAGCGUGGGGGAGCGAACAGGAUUAGAAUACCCUGGGUAGUCCACGCCGUACACGAUGAGUGCCUAAGUGCUAGAGGGAUUCCGCCCAUUACUGCCUGCAGCCUACGCAUUUAGGCACUUCCGCCUGGGGUAGUUACGUCGCCAGGACUGAAUCUCAAUGGAACUGAACUGAGCUCGCACAAGCGACUGUACGC
rnacentral:rRNA from 1 species